rnacentral:rRNA from 1 species
UACGUAGGAUGCAAGCGUUGUCCGGAUUUACUGGGCGUAAAGCGCGCGCAGGCGGCACAUUAAGUAAGGUGUGAAAUAUCCCGGCUCAACCGGGAGGGUGCACUUUAGACUGAUGAGCUUGAGGUCGGUAGAGGGGGGUGGAAUUGCUGGUGUAGCGGUGAAAUGCGUAGAUAUCUGGAGGAACACCGGUGGCGAAGGCGGCAUCCUGGACCGACACUGACGCUGAGGCGCGAAAGCUAGGGGAGCAAACGGG